ensembl:lincRNA Gm11494 predicted gene 11494
UCCUGCCUUGAAUUCCUGACUCCUUUUCCUCUUCAAGUUGCUCUCAGUCGGUGUUUUAUCUCAGCGGUAGAAAUCAAACUAAGAUCUCUACCCAAGUCGCUGCCUGUGCCCACAGAAGGGACUGAAAUCCCCAUCUGUGACCCGCCUGUGUUGGAAGGAGAGUACUUCCGUAUGAGAAUGUCAUGGCUUGUUCUCAGGCUGAAGUCGGCACCGAAAUGGAUUCCAAAGAACAGGCUCACUUAUCAUCUGUGCCUGGCCUUUGUCACCAUUGUGCCACAGUUGACGUCAACGAUCUACAUGUAGCUGCGUCUACAGCUGUUCUGCUAUUUGUGUUUUAGGCAGUGCCUCAGUUUCCAAAAACAGAUGUCCACAUCUGAGAGUAGAGUCCGGGUAAGAACACAAGACCCCUACAGUCAAGUUAGAACUUGGAUCCUGCCUAAGCCCCAUCUGUGGGUUUUGCAAAUGUGUAAAGAUGGGUUAUAAAAUAAUUGCUCACACCAACAUUAGACCAAAUAGUCUCAAGUUCCUGGGUCCCUCGCAUGAACUAGUCAAUCUCAUCCAUGCCCAUGGACAAGAUGUGUGAUAGUGUCUAUUUUUAAAAUAAAAAUAUUUAUUUUUAUGUUUUUAGCAAUGCAGAUGUGCACAUGAGUGCAAUUGCCUUCAAAGGCCAGAAGGGGGCAGUGGAUCUCCUGGAGCCAGAGUGACAGGCAGUUGUGAGCUGCUUGAUGUGGGCGCUGGAAACUGAUCUGGAGACCUCUGCAAAGGCAACGCUCAGGCUUGAUCUCUGGCUGAUACAUCUCAGCAGUCUCCUGAGCCAGUCUGCUUUCUUUACGCUUUCAGCUGGGGCAUGUGGCCUUCUGCAUGGCACAGUGACCAAGUGUAGAAUGACUAUUUAUUGACAUCUACUGACAAACCCAGAGAGAUCAGUUUGAUUGUCUUGUAACCUACCAACCACAGACAUCUGCAUGUAAUGGGCUGGUUCUACUUCAUGAGCCUCGACUGCACUAGCGUUGAUUAUUAAGAAGCACAGAGGACGUUCACAAUGUGGUUUCGUUUGCCCAACAAUGUAGAAGACCAGGCAUAGAUAAGAUGUCAGCCAGGAAGCUGGGGAAGAGAAGAAAAACAGAAAGUAUUAGUUCCAUUUCCUGCCACCCUGACCUCAGUACAAAAGCCACUUUAAAGGACUGAUGAUCUUUUUUAUUGCACCGCCCAUCGCUUUAGAAAGUUCUGGCUGCGCAUUAAUGAGUUUUCCUCCCACAAAUUUAAUUUGCAUCUCCAGUAAGUACCAAGAGCAGCAGUUUUUCUAUGGACUUUAAGUAGAUGACUUCCUUUGUGCUUAUGAUUUAUGCCACAAAUAAUUUUCUCUUUUAAUAGGGAACAUUUUAAUGACUUAAAAUUUAAAAUUAAUUAUUAAUAUAUGAAAGUUACUUUUUAUGAGAAACCCGCUGUAUAGUUUUCUCUUUACAUUCGUUGGCCUUUAACCAUUUGUCUCAUAAUUUUUAAUUUCCCUUUUGCAUAUUUUGGUUUAUGUGAUAUAAAUAGUCUAUGGAAACCUGAAAAAAGAUACUAUUUGCUCUAAACAACCAAAGUAUGUAAUUGGUUAUAUCUAUUUAACUUUAUUACUAUUUUCCUUAAAAUACCUAUGUGCUCUGUCAUCAGUCUAAUUAAAUUUUAAAAAAU